rnacentral:rRNA from 1 species
UCCGUAGGUGGCCCUCGUUGUCCUUCUUUAUUUUGCUUCCAGCGCUCGCAGGCGGUCUUUUACUUCUGAUGUGAAAGCCCCCGGCUUAACCGGGGAGGGUCAUUGGAAACUGGGAGACUUGAGUGCAGAAGAGGAAAGCGGAAUUCCAUGUGUAGCGGUGAAAUGCGUAGAUAUAUGGAGGAACACCAGUGGCGAAGGCGGCUUUCUGGUCUGUAACUGACGCUGAGGCUCGAAAGCGUGGGGAGCAAACAGGAUUAGAUACCCUGGUAGUCCACGCCGUAAACGAUGAGUGCUAAGUGUUGGAGGGUUUCCGCCCUUCAGUGCUGCAGCAAACGCAUUAAGCACUCCGCCUGGGGAGUACGACCGCAAGGUUGAA